GAGUCUAGCAUGUGCGCGAGUCAUUGGGACUCUAACGAAACCUAAAGGCGUAAUGAAAGUGAAGGUUCGCCUCGCGCGAACCGAGGGAGGAUGGACGGUCAUUACUGACCGCCCCGCACUCCCUGGGCGUCUCGUUCUCAUCGCGAGAAGAGGCGCACCAAGAGCGUACACGCUGGGACCCGAAAGAUGGUGAACUAUGCCUGGUCAGGACGAAGUCAGGGGAAACCCUGAUGGAGGUCCGUAGCGAUUCUGACGUGCAAAUCGAUCGUCGGAACUGGGUAUAGGGGCGAAAGACUAAUCGAACCAUCUAGUAGCUGGUUCCCUCCGAAGUUUCCCUCAGGAUAGCUGGCGCUCGCUUCUCGCGAGUCUCAUUCGGUAAAGCGAAUGAUUAGAGGCAUUGGGGUCGAAACGGCCUCAACCUAUUCUCAAACUUUAAAUGGGUGAGAUCUCCGGCUUGCUUGAACUAUGAAGCCGCGAGAUAUCGGAUCAGAGUGCCAAGUGGGCCACUUUUGGUAAGCAGAACUGGCGCUGUGGGAUGAACCAAACGCUGAGUUAAAGCGCCUAAAUCGACGCUUAUGGGAUACCAUGAAAGGCGUUGGUAACUUAAGACAGCAGGACGGUGGCCAUGGAAGUCGGA
rnacentral:rRNA from 1 species